UAUUGCAUAAUGCUUGGCAAAAACUGUUUUAAAAGCCUCAAUUUGAACUCUUAUCCAAAAUCAAAUGCUGUGGAAUGUUUUACGUGUGUUUGUUUGAAAGAUCUUUUGUUUGUUUGUUUGUUUGUUUGUUUACGUAAAUGCAAUGGCUAAUUGGUUUAUUCUCUAACUGUACAGGAAACUCGUCCUCUGAACUGGAUUGUGAAUAAACAAAAAACUGGACUGUCAAAACUGACAAUGGCUUCCUUUCAUAAAGGUUUUAUAAAAGCUCAUCCUCUCAUCUCUGGGAUUCUGUAUGUCUUAAGACUGUACUUGGCCUCUUCAACUGUAACACCGGUGACGACUGCAGACCCCUGCAACAACUACACUGUGCUGGAC